CAGCCGCCGCGGUAAUACGUAGGUGGCAAGCGUUGUCCGGAAUUAUUGGGCGUAAAGGGCUCGCAGGCGGUUUCUUAAGUCUGAUGUGAAAGCCCCCGGCUCAACCGGGGAGGGUCAUUGGAAACUGGGAAACUUGAGUGCAGAAGAGGAGAGUGGAAUUCCACGUGUAGCGGUGAAAUGCGUAGAGAUGUGGGGGAACACCAGUGGCGAAGGCGACUCUCUGGUCUGUAACUGACGCUGAGGAGCGAAAGCGUGGGGAGCGAACAGGAUUAGAUACCCGUGUAGUCCCUGUCUCUUAUAC
rnacentral:rRNA from 1 species